rnacentral:rRNA from 1 species
UACGAAGGGGGCUAGCGUUGCUCGGAAUGACUGGGCGUAAAGGGCGCGUAGGCGGAUUGCACAGUCAGAUGUGAAAUUCCCGGGCUUAACCUGGGGGCUGCAUUUGAAAACUACAAGGCUAGAGUGUGGCAGAGGGGGGGUGGAAUUCCACGUGUAGCAGUGAAAUGCGUAGAGAUGUGGAGGAACACCGAUGGCGAAGGCAGCCCCCCUGGGUUAACACUGACGCUCAGGCACGAAAGCGUGGGGAGCAAACAGG